rnacentral:rRNA from 1 species
AGAGUUUGAUCCUGGCUCAGAAUGAACGCUGGCGGCGCGCUUAACACAUGCAAGUCGAACGGUAACAGGAGGAAGCUUGCUUUCUUGCUGACGAGUGGCGCACGGGUGAGUAAUGCAUAGGUAACGUGCCCCUUAGUCUGGGAUAGCCACUGGAAACGGUGAUUAAUACUAGACACGCCUUCUCUCUUGAUGAGAGUUGGGAAAGUUUUUCGCUAAGGGAUCGGCCUAUGUUGUAUCAGGUAGUUGGUGAGGUAAUGGCUCACCAAGCCUAUGACACAUAGCGGGUCUGAGAGGAUGAUCCGCCACACUGGUACUGAGACACGGACCAGACUCCUACGGGAGGCAGCAGUGGGGAAUAUUGCACAAUGGACGAAAGUCUGAUGCAGCAACGCCGCGUGGAGGAUGACACAUUUCGGUGCGUAAACUCCUUUUAUAUGAGAAGAUAAUGACGGUAUCAUAUGAAUAAGCACCGGCUAACUCCGUGCCAGCAGCCGCGGUAAUACGGAGGGUGCAAGCGUUAUUCGGAAUCACUGGGCGUAAAGGGUGCGUAGGCGGUUUGGAAAGUCAGAUGUGAAAGGCUACAGCUUAACUGUAGAACUGCAUUUGAAACUUCCAGACUAGAAUACUGAAGGUGCAGAUGGAAUUAGUGGUGUAGGGGUAAAAUCCGUAGAUAUCACUAGGAAUACCGAAAGCGAAAGCGAUCUGCUGGGAAGUUAUUGACGCUGAGGCACGAAAGCGUGGGGAGCAAACGGGAUUAGAUACCCCGGUAGUCCACGCCCUAAACGAUGAAUGCUAGUCGUCGGAAAGCUCGUCUUUACGGUGAUGCAGUUAACACAUUAAGCAUUCCGCCUGGGGAGUACGGUCGCAAGAUUAAAACUCAAAGGAAUAGACGGGGACCCGCACAAGUGGUGGAGCAUGUGGUUUAAUUCGAAAAUACGCGAAGAACCUUACCUAGCCUUGACAUUGAUAGAAUCUGGUAGAGAUACCGGAGUGCCUGCUUGCAGGAGCUUGAAAACAGGUGCUGCACGGCUGUCGUCAGCUCGUGUCGUGAGAUGGGUUAAGUCCCGCAACGAGCGCAACCCUCGUCGUUAGUUGCUAACAGUUCGGCCGAGCACUCUAGCGAGACUGCCUUCGCAAGGAGGAGGAAGGUGAGGACGACGUCAAGUCAUCAUGGCCCUUAUGGCUAGGGCUACACACGUGCUACAAUGGGGCGUACAGAGAGUUGCGAUACCGCGAGGUGGAGCUAAUCUCACAAAGCGUCUCUCAGUUCGGAUUGUUCUCUGCAACUCGAGAACAUGAAGCUGGAAUCACUAGUAAUCGUAGAUCAGCAAUGCUACGGUGAAUACGUUCCCGGGUCUUGUACUCACCGCCCGUCACACCAUGGGAGUUGAUUUCACCCGAAAUCGGGAAGCGAACCUUCGGGACGCUACCG